rnacentral:lncRNA from 1 species
UCGAACACCAGUGCUCCAGACUCCAGUAUAUUAUACUGAACAAUUAUACUUGCUGAAUUCUCGUAAAAUUUGUGAGAGUUCCAGCAUAAUUAUAUUUAAACUCCUAUAAAUUUUACAGAAAUUCCAACAUAACUAUCCUGUAACUCCGCAAUUUUACGGGAGUUCAAUUCUAGCCGAGAGUUGAGAGCAAAUUUGACCAAAGUUGAAUUUUCAAGAUGUAUACUAUCUAACAAAAAGACAGACAGUUCACUUUCAUAUAUAAGACAUUGACGAUGAGCAUAGACGAGAGUUUAGAACACAAUUGCAUCCAUAUCUUUAAUCAUUAUCCCAUCCAAAGAUAUUUAUCUCCACGCACUUGGAGAAAAGUUGAUUAAUCCACAUAUAGAAGUUGCUUGUCCAUCCAAAUUCAUCAUUCUACUGCCUUCACAUACAACCAAUCAGAUCACAGUUAAAGUUAUAAUUGGACAUGCAUUUUAUUUAAUUUUUUAAAAAAACUUUUUAAGAAGAAGAAAAAAAUUUCAUCUAAUUGAAAAAAAAUUCAUAAUUUUUCAAAAUUGAUCAUGUUCCAUGAACAGACAGUGUUUCAAUUUUUUUUUUAUUUUAAAAACUGCACCCAGAAUUUAUGGCCAAACGGGUGUUGCUGAAGAAUGUACAUUAUCGAUCAGGAUUUUAUCACCAGAGAAUGAGGUUUUUACAUGGAUGAUCUCUUUAUAAAAAUUAUUUUCUUAUGUAGUAUUCUUCGUUUAUUCCAGAAAUAGCAGAUUUUAUUACAAAUACAGCAUUAUAGAAAAAUAACAACUGCAACCCCUUAAAUGUCGUACCCAAUAUUUAAAGAAAUCGUUUCCAAUUUAAUUUUUUCCUGUUUAUGUUUUUCUCUUCAGGAAGUAGCCAUAUUUACAAUUGGUAUUUAAAAAAUAGCCACAAUUUUAAGAAAAGAGUUCAAUCAUAGGAUGCAUUUUGAAUUUAUCAUGAAUAACUGUUAUCGUUUAUUGCCAUUCCUCUUGUAUUAAUAUGCUGAAAUACCAUGUAUAGACGGGAAUAAGUGAAAAAAGAAAAAUUAUUUGUCUGGUUUUCAGCAUCUAGAAAAGUAAUUAAAAUUUAGCCACUUUUUCAUGUAAAUAUAAAAUUUAAAUAAAGACACCAUUAAAGAUCCAAAAAUAUUUCAGCAUAAUAUGCUAGAGUUUAAAUUUUUAUAUAUAAAUGAGAUUCUAACACAAUGUGCUGAAAUUCCAACAUGAUAUGCUGGAAGUUUAUGCCUAAGAGCACCAUAAUUCAGCAUAUUAUGCUGGAACUUAUCGUAUUUCAGCAAAAUAGUGGCUAUUUUUAAAACUUUGAAAACACCGAAUAUUUUUUAGGAAUUUUUACCUCCUAUAGCAAAGGUUAACACCUUAAAAUAAAUAUCAUUUUAAAAAAUUAUAUUCUGUAGAUACCUUUUAAGGUUUGUAACAAAAUUUUAAUAUUGGUUACCUCCUAGCCCUAAGUGUUACACUAUUUUCUUUCUCUCUCCACUUUGAUAUAUCACAUUUUCUUCCCCCAUUCCAUUAAAAUUUCUCGGUGUAAAUAAAAUCACAUACUUGCUCUCUCACGUUUUAUUCCCCAACAUACCAAAUCUCCCGCAACCAUUAGCGCAUAAAUUGACCCACCUCUGCCAUCAACCACCAUAUAUUCCCUCUUGGACCUCCCACCUCUUCUCACUUCCACCACCAAGGUUUUAUGCAACAACGAUGAAUGCAAGUAAACCUCUACAUCAACUAGAAGAUAUUGAAAACGCUUUUUUACCUGCCAACCUACACCUCUGCUGAGUACGGAUGGUGGCAAGGGAGUAGCACUUGCAUAUCUCGUAAUUGCAAUAAAACUACUAGUGGACUGAAAAAAUAAAAUCAACUUCAGAAGGGAGUCGUGUCCAGGCUUAUCUAGCCCAAAUAUCUUUUUCUUCAUAAAAAUUAGCAAUCAAAAGACAAGGCCUCAAUUGAAGUGGAAGACGAUAUAGUAGACCGGAUGCUAGGUAGAUUAUUUCGUUGCUCGACGACGGAUUCGCCAGAAAUUAGGGUUUGUUCUUAACAAAGACGACGGAGUAUGGGGCUGAGCAACUUGAUUUUCUGUAAAUAUAUUUCAAUAUAUCUUUAAUGUAUCACAAUGUAUUUUCAUGUAUUUGUUUGUAUUCAUUAUUUUUUUCAUUGUAAUUCAAUAUAUCUCGUUGUAUUCCAUGUAUUUCAUUGUAUUCACUGUACUUUUAUAUUUCAAUGUAUCCCGCUGUAUUAUAUGUAUUUUAUUAUAUUCACCGUCUCGUUAUAUGCCAUGAAUGUAUUCGUAUAUUUUUUAAUUAAUAUAAUUAUGUAUUCAGAUGUAUUUUAUAAUUUCUCUGAAGAUUGCUAUAUUUUUGGGGUAGUUUUUGGUUGAGAAUCUUCUUUAUAGCUGAAAAAAUAAAUUUUAUGUGUUAUAAUUGAGUUUGUUGAGUUAUAUUAAGAGUCUAUUAUGUAAAUUGAUUUACUUUUCGUUUUAAAAAUAGUGUAAUUCCCUAUUUCAUGCCAUGAAUACAGUUGAAUACAGUAAUCUGUCUAGCUGUAAUCCAUGUUUAACUCCAUGAAUACAGUCGAAUACACUCGAAUACAACAACUGAUUAGCUGGACUUCUCAGAGUCACGCCUAUUUUUGCUACUGUAUUUAUGAAUACAAUAGCUUAAAUACAUCACAUACAUAUUAUAAUCUCACAAAAGGUAUCUAUAAUCCGUACUAUAACAAAUGUUAUUUAUAGAUGGCUAAUUACUACCAAAAGAUAGUGCUUUAUAAAAAUUUCUCUAUUUUUUAAUUACUAGUCCGAAAAACUAGUUAGCCCAUGCUAUCUAGGAUUGAGUAAUUCCAAAGAUUGAGUUGGACCUUGGCCUAACUCAAUCCCCUAAAACCGAGCUUGUGGAGUGAGGAUUGCCCAAGCUAUAUAAUGAGACCAAAGACCUCAAAUCCCUCCGAUGUGGGACAACUCAAUACCACCAUCACGCAUAGGCCUCUGGAGCGUGGACAACAUAAAUAGGGAUCCAACAUCGGUAACAAUAAUUGGGGUGAGCCUGACUCUGAUACCAUGAUAAGAAUAGACCUUGGGCCGAACUCAAUCCUGUAAACUAGCUUGUGAGGUGAGAAUUGCCCAAGCCAUAUAAGGAGACCAAAGACCUCAAAUCCUCAUAUGUGGGACAACUCGUAAAUAGAUAUUCACCUAACCACUUAUAGAUAUAUAAUAUACUUAUAAUUUAUAUAUAAUAUCUGUAACCGUGCAUAGCCCAUGUAUGUCGGAUAAGUAAAUUAAAUAAUUAAUUAAUUCGACUAUUUGUGCAAAGAUCCUAUGAAUACCUUAAUUGAUUGUCUUCCUUCUAUUUCACUCUUUCUACUUGAAAGGUGGUGUCAAAUAUAAGGUGGGAGACUCCCCAUUUGAGGAGCAUAUUUGCAUCUGUUUUUGACUUCUCGUCAGGGGUGUUCAUAAAAAUUUAAAAAAAUCGAAUUAAACCGAUCAAGAAAUUAAUACAUUUUAGGUUUGAUUUUAUUUUGAUUUUAAAUUUUAAAAACCUGUUAAAUUUGGUUUGACUUUGAUUUUAAUAAAAAAAAAAAACCGAAACAAUCCGAACCAAACCAACUAUAAAAGUAGCUAUAUAAAUUUAUUACACACACACAUACACACACACACAUACAUAUAUAAAAGAAUUAUACUUUUAUUUAAAGUUUCUAAAAUUUAUGGUACAUAUUAGUCAUUUGGAUUUUAAGUCUAAUUCUUUAUAAUAAUCUAAUUCUUUGUCUUUAUAUUCUAGUAAUUGAUUAGUAGUUUUUUUACUAAGUACAAUAAUUUAUCUCAUGUUAAAAAUAAUUAAUUUUUAAUUCAGUACUUAAAUUAUUCAUCACUAGAUUCAAUUAUCAUCAGUAUAUCUAGGUGAAUGAUAGAUUUCUCAAAGAGCAAUUGAUUUGAUAGUGUUACAUCGAAAAUAUAGUCGCCGGAAUAUGCGUUUGGUAGUGUAUGUCUCACAGACAUGAGGGUUUGCUCAAGCAACCUCCAUUUCCAACCGAGAGGUUGUGAGUUCGAGUCUCCCCAAAAGCAAGGUGGGAAGCUCUUGGAGGGAAGGAUGUCGGGGGUCUACUUGGAAACAGCCUCUCUAUCCCAGGGUAAGGGUAAGGUCUGCGUACACACUACCCUCCCAAGACCCACUAAGUGGAUUAUACUGGGUUGUUAUUGUGUAUGUCUCAUAUUUAAGGAAAAAACCUAAUAAAUAACCGAAAAAAUCGAAAACUGACAAAAACAGAACCGAUAAAAUACCGACUUAAUUGGUUUGGUUUGGUUCCAAUAUUUGAAAAACCGACUUACUUGAUUUGAUUUCUUUUUAGAAAAGAACCGACCCAAACCGAAAUAUGAACACCCCAUCCUUAUGGUAUACCAAACUUGGGCACUUUUGAAUAUUUAUCGUCUAAAUGUUGUGACAAGGUAAUGAGAUUUGCAAUAUAAAAGUAAAAAAUCAAUGGUAAACUAUAUGGAUUCCAGAUUGUAGAUCAAGAACAUAUGAAACUUAUGCAAUUACACAAAGGCGCUACUCUACAUUCGUGCAGUAAAUGAGCUAUAGUGAACGGAAGACAAAGGAAAAUGAAAUGAAAAAGAAAGGAUCUUCAAAUCCAACGAGUACAACGUGAAAGAGAAAGCAAAUAAUUGUUUGGGGUGGGGGUGGGGUGGGGGAGGUUCAGAUUGUUCGUACAUCACCACGCGAUACAUGCGUGAGGAAAGAACAGAAUUAAUGGAACCAACUGGGCUGCGUGAACUAGGCUCUCAACUGUAAUAUUAAGUGCCCGCUUGGACAUAAAAUUUGAUGGAAGAUUUUUUCUAAAAAAAAUUAUUUUUUCCCGAAAUUAGCGUAUGUUCAUAAAAAAUUUAAUUUUCGAUGUAUUUUGAAAUUUUUUAAAAAUUUAAAAAACUAUAAAAAACUAUUUUUCAAAAUUUUCACUCACAAAACUUCAAAAACAACUCAAACUAAAAUUUUUGUCAAAACACAACAAUAAUUUUCAAAUAUCAUUUUCACUUGAAUAUUUUUUUCACCAUUUUUUCGAAUUUUACAAUUUUUAUGUCCAAAUGCAUGCAUCCGUUUAGACCUACGAAGUUUUCCCUUUUUCCCGAAAAAAUUCACUUUUUUUUUUUUGAGAUUAACGUUUGUUCAUAAAUUUUUUAAAUUUCAUUUAAAGAUGUUAACCAAUUUUUGAAUUUUCACUCAAAACACUCACAAAACUUUAAAAAAUAAUCUAAAUUAUAUUCAUGUCCAAACGCCAACUAAAUAUUGAAGUGGGUUUAAGUAAAGAAUCAAAUUGAUCAAAUUUGCAAAAUCAAGCACGUGGAUACGAGAUUGAGGAAUAGUUCACUUGGUAAUAAAUUCAUCUUCAACAUGAAAGAACAAGUUGACCAGACAUUAGUUGCAUAUUUUAAUAAUGUUAAUGUCAAGUAGAAAGAGCUGUGAGGGGAAAAAGUGCACAUACUCGGUAAAUUUUCGUAUCUUCAGUGUGAACUGUUUACUCAGAAAAUUUUUAUUUUUUGCCUACACAAAUAACCUUAAUUAUGUAAGAUCUCUUUUAUGUCUUAUAAUUGUAUGGGUUCCAGAAUUUUAUGGAACCACAAAUGUAUAAGAUAUAGAUCUACACAUAUGUAAAAUAAAAAAAAGCCUUACACAAAUAAUAUAAAUUGUGUGAGACACAAAAUAAAAUCACUCGUCCACUCAUCAUCCAAAAUAAAGUAUUCAACGUGGAUUAAGUGGGUACAAAAGUACUAAUGUACUAUAUAUCAUUUCCCUCUCUGUAGAGAUUAGUGAUUUGCUCGAUCAAAUCACACGAGCAUCUGGAAUCUUAAAUAGCUUUAACAUGGCAAGUGAAAUAACGAAGGGAGAAAUCAUCCUCCCAGUCAACAUGUCUGGAAAAAUACAAGACACCAAAUUUCAUGUCAUCGUAGGCGACAUGAGGUAUAAUGUUUUGCUUGGAAGGCCGUGGAUCCAUAACAUGAGAGCGGUGCCAUCGACCCUUCAUGAAAUGAUGAAGUUCCCAACAAAGGAUGGCGUAAAAACAGUAUAUGGAGAGCAGCAUGCAGCUAAGGAUAUAUUUGCAGUGCACGACUUGGCACAGGUAUCGGCACCAUCCACGUCGAAAAAGUCGAAGGAUGAACGGGUGGCUAAAUAGCUAUCAUACUCCAUACGCUCGGUUGAGCCUGAGGACAAGUGUUCAAUGAACAAGUGGCUGAGGAUGAAUAAGAAGAUUUACUCAUCCCCCGAGCCUUCUUCACCCCGAGGAAUCGAAUUCGACGAAGUCCAUGAUCGAAGAACUUGAGCAUGCCAUAUUGAUCGAGCAUCUUCCAGAACGAAAGGUAUACCUGGGGACGGGGUUAACCCCCUAACUCAGAAAAAAACUCAUUCAAUUUCUUAACGAUAAUAUUGAUUGCUUCGCCUGGUCCCCGCUUAGAUAUGAUAGGGAUCCCACCGGAGAUAACUGCGGAUCGACUAAGUGUCGGCCUCAGAUUUAAACGAGUGAAGCAAAAGAGAAGACCUCGGUCCGAGGUAAAGCAUGCAUUCAUCAAAGAAGAGGUAACCAAAAUUCUCAAGAUAGGAUCCAUUAGGGAAGUAAAAUAUCCCGAAUGGCUAGAUAACGUAGUGAUAGUCCCUAAAAAGGGAGAAAAACUUAGAAUAAAUGUAGACUACAAAGAUCUGAACAAAGCAUACCCUAAAGAUUCUUUCCCAUUGCCCAACAACGAUCAUUUGAUCGAUUCUAUGGCCGGUCAUGAGAUCCUUGAUUUUCUCGAUGCCUACUCCGGGUACAACCAAAUUCAAAUGAACUCGGAGGACCAGGAAAAGACUCUAUUCAGCAUGAAGUAUGAUACGCAUUGUUAUAAUAUAAUGCCCUUUGGGCUAAAUAAUGCAGGAGCCACAUGUCAACGCCUAGUUAAUAAGAUGUUCAAACAUCAAAUAGGCAAAUCCAUGAAAGUUUACAUUGAUGACAGGCUAGUUAAGUCCCUGCGCGCAGAGGACCACUUCACCCAUUUGCAGGUGACAUUUGAUAUCCUAAGAAAGUACAACAUGAAGCUCAACCCGAAAAAUGCGCUUUUAGAGUCGACUCCGGCAAGUUCUUGGGCUUCAUAGUGUCAAACAGGGGUAUCGAGGUCAACCCCAAUAAACCAAAGCCAUCAAGAAAAAUAUCGUAGUGAAUAAUGUGAAAGAUGUAAAUGGAUAACUAGACGGACAGCUGCCCUAGGCCGAUUUUUCUCGAGGUCAUCAGAUCAGAGCCAUCAUUUCUUUUCCCUACUCAAGAAAAAGAACAACUUCGCAUGGACUUCGGAGUGCCAACAAGCCUUGGAAGAAUUAAAACGGUAUCUCUCGAGCCCACCCCUGCUCCUUUCUAUGAAGGAGGAUGAAACACUCUACAUAUAUCUAGCCGUGUCCGAGGUAGCGGUAAGUGGCAUAUUGGUUCGAUAAGAGCAAGGUACGCAAUUUCCUGUCUAUUAUGUGAGUCGUACCUUAGGAGAUACUGAAACCAGGUACCCACAUUUGGAAAAGUUAUCUCUUGCAUUAAUAAGUGCAUCUAGGAAAUUAAAACCAUAUUUUCAAUGACAUCCUAUAUAUAUAAUGACUACGUACCCACUUCGAAAUGUCUUGCAUAAACCCGAAUUAUCGAGCAGAUUGGCCAAAUGGGCCAUCAAACUUGGAGGAUAUGAUAUCGAAUAUCAACCUCGAACGGCUAUCAAGUCUCAAAUUUGGAAGACUUGGUGGUCAAUUUUAUACGUGCCAUCGUACCCGAAGUAGAAAAAUAACUCUUGCAAAAAAUGGGUAUGUCAUCGGGGGUAUGGAUCCUCUUCACAGACGGUGCCUUAAAUGUGAAAGGAUUCGGGCUCGGCAUUGUUUUAAAACCACUUACGAGCAGUGUCAUUAGGAAAUAUAUCAAAACUUCUAAAUUGACUAACAAUGAGGCCGAGUAUGAGGCCAUGAUUGCAGGCCUCGAAUUAGUUAGGGCCUUGGAGCGGAGGUCAUCGAGGCAAAGUGUGAAUCCCUUUUGGUAGUAAAUCAAGUAAACGAGUGCUUCAAGAUUUGAGACGAUCAAAUGUAGAGGCACUUAGACAAACUUCAAAUGACAUUGCACCGCUUUAAGGAAUGGACACCUGGACCAUGUACCUCGAGAAGAGAAUAGCGAGGCUGAUGCACUUGCAAACUUGGGAUUAUCGGUUCAAGAAGAUGAUAUCAUUCUGGGGACUAUCGUCCAACUAUCGAAGUCGGUGGUCGAAGAAGGCCAUGCAGAGAUUAAUUCAACAAGUUUAACGUGGGAUUGGUGGAAUAAGUAAAUCGACUACUUGAAGCAUGAGAAGCUCCCCCAAGAUCGUAAUAUAAAAUACCUCCGGUGACAGUGCUAAUUCCUGGUUGAACUAGAUUUGAAUUUUGAACCUGUACUAGGGUUAACCGCAGAAUCUAUGCUUGUCCCCUCUUGCUGCACUUGCAUUUGAAAAAAUCUAGCCCUAUCUGUAGGGUGUGUUUUUNNNNNNNNNNNNNNNNNNNNNNNNNNNNNNNNNNNNNNNNNNNNNNNNNNNNNNNNNNNNNNNNNNNNNNNNNNNNNNNNNNNNNNNNNNNNNNNNNNNNNNNNNNNNNNNNNNNNNNNNNNCCGUGCCGCUACGGUCUCCAGUAAAUUUAUGAACCAGUAAUUUCCCACAAGUUUUACACUUAGCCUUAUUUAGUUCUCUUACUUGAGUAAAAGAAUUCCAAACUAAUGAUGUUUCUGGAAGUUUAGCAGGCUGUCUACUAAAAGUUGGAGUUUUUACAGGUGGGUGGGCCGGUACAUUACUUGAGUUAUGAACAUGACUAGUAGGUGUAUCAUCUAAAUCUGGUGCUUGGGUUUCAUCAUCAUCAUCAUUUUCCUCUAAGAUAGGUUCAUUAGGAUAAAAAGCAUUCAUAAUUUCAUGAUCUAAUCUAUCACCUACUGCAAUAUCAUGUAGAAAUUCACUAUCGGUAAAUUGAAAACAAAGGUGAUCACUAUCAAGCAUUACNNNNNNNNNNNNNNNNNNNNNNNNNNNNNNNNNNNNNNNNNNNNNNNNNNNNNNNNNNNNNNNNNNNNNNNNNNNNNNNNNNNNNNNNNNNNNNNNNNNNNNNNNNNNNNNNNNNNNNNNNNNNNNNNNNNNNNNNNNNNNNNNNNNNNNNNNNNNNNNNNNNNNNNNNNNNNNNNNNNNNNNNNNNNNNNNNNNNNNNNNNNNNNNNNNNNNNNNNNNNNNNNNNNNNNNNNNNNNNNNNNNNNNNNNNNNNNNNNNNNNNNNNNNNNNNNNNNNNNNNNNNNNNNNNNNNNNNNNNNNNNNNNNNNNNNNNNNNNNNNNNNNNNNNNNNNNNNNNNNNNNNNNNNNNNNNNNNNNNNNNNNNNNNNNNNNNNNNNNNNNNNNNNNNNUAACAACUUCAUAAUUUUUCAUGAAUUUUCAACAAUAAAUUAAGCAAUUGUAGUAGAAAGAUUGAAAGAGAGAUUGAUGAAUAAAAAUGAAAGAAUGAGGAGGUAUUUAUAGUUGAGAUAUGGGAAAAAGUGUAAUUAUAUAAACUUUGGGGGCUAAAUGACUAUUUUACAAAGUUUCAAACGGCUAUAUUUCGUUACUGUUUUUUUUUGCCCGCUAGGCCCGGCCCAGGCCCGACUGGCGGUCCCGGGCCUGACGAUCCCGGGCUCACGAUUUUUCAGUUUGGACUGGCCUAUCGCGGGCCUAUAGGACCAGCAGGCCCAGGACCACCAGGACAGGCCCACCAAACCCGUCAGAACCGUGGGCCCGAUCCGGUUCAGACCCGGGCCACAGUACACCCUUAGCCACAGUACACCCUUACAAGGGCAUAAGGAUGCCAUAUUAGCGGUCAAACUCUCUUCAAUUUAUUCUGCGUCAACUUUUUUUUUUUACAAUAGAUAUUUUUAUAUUUAAAAAUAAUUUAAGUUCGAAGUAAUCUUAAUGAUAUGCUUUUAUAGCAACAAAAAUUUCAUAAAAUAUUUAAAAUUAUAAAUUUUAAAAGUCUUUUUUUUUUAAAAUAAAGUUCUCGGUCAACUAUGCCAACAUAAUUGAGACGGAGGGAGUAUUUGGGCUCGUCCACCCCUUCCUCGCACAAUUAAUAAAAAAAAAAAUUGAAAAAAAUGGAUAGACUCAACUUUAAAAUGGUCCUUUGAUUUAAUAUUUGAUAAACAUUUGAAGCGAAAAAAGUUCAGGAGUGGCUAAAUAUGGAAGUCAAUAUUGGACGAAUUUAGGUGGCUUUACGUAUUCAUUCGUUUCUCUUUCCCCUUUCCACCUAACCUUGCUGCCACCUAUCAUUUUUUUAUUUACUUCUAUAUUUUUCUUAUGGGUCUUACUAUAUAUACCAGUAUAUAUUUUGUAUUUUGUGAUUCUUAAUUUCGUCAGUUAUUCUUGAUUUCUUAUCACAUUUAUUGCUUAUAGCACUAUUUAGUAUCACUGUUUAGUACUCAAAAGAGCUAUUCGAUAAUCGAAUUUAAAGUAGGGGAGGGAAAAGGAGCCCUUCUACUAUUGUUAUUCUUAUAGUAUUAUUUGCAUCUUCAAGGGGAGAAUUGAUUUUGUAGUCAUUCACAAAUUUGUACAAUUACUGUGUUACCAAUUUUUAUUCCAAUCAAAACAUGAAAAUGAUUAAAAAAAAGAAAGAGAUAAAGAUAUUUUCAUGAAUAACUUCCUAGUACAAAACACGCCCUAAGUGUUACGCCAUGCCUUUAUUAUCAAACUGUGUAUAGCAAUAGUAUAUUAGUUUGGAUUAAAGUAAAUAAUUACAUUAUACAUUUAUAUUGAAAACAAGUUACCACUAAUUUAAUUGCGACCCUUGUCCAACCAAUACUCAUGUUUAGAUCAAUGCCUUGUUCGCACAAUCCCACCUUAUCUUGUUUGAUCGGACUCUAGUUUUACCUCUUUUCUGCUUUGACUUAGGAUAUUUUCUGUAAUUUUCGGAUGAUCACUUAAUUGAUAUUUCGAUCUGUUGAACAGAUAACACAUUUCAAAUGUGGGGGAGUUUCCCUUGGUGUGGGCAUGCAACAUCACGCAGCAGAUGGAGCUUCUGGUCUUCACUUCAUCAACACAUGGUCCGAUAUGGCUCGUGGUCUGGACCUCACCAUCCCACCUUUUAUAGACCGGACCCUCCUCCGUGCUCGCGCUUCCGGUCUUCACUUCAUCAACACACGGUCCGAUAUGGCUCGUGGUCUGGACCUCACCAUCCCACCUUUCAUAGAUCGGACCCUCCUCCGUGCUCGUGAUCCACCUCAGCCUCAGUUUCCCCACGUCGAGUACCAGCCACCUCCCACUCUCAAAGCAACUCCGGAAAACACCACCAACCCUGAAGUUGUUCCUGAAACAGCGCGUCCAUCUUCAAAUUAACUCGUGAUCAAAUCAAUACCCUCAAAGCCAAGUCCAAAGAAGAUGGAAAUACCAUUAACUACAGAUCCUACGAGAUGUUGGCAGGACACGUGUGGCGCUCCACGUGCAUGGCACGAGGACUAGCUCAUGAUCAAGAAACCAAAUUGUACAUAGCAACAGAUGGACGUUCCAGGCUGCGGCCCUCUCUCCCACCAGGCUAUUUUGGUAAUGUGAUAUUUACUACUACUCCUAUUGCAGUGGCUGGUGAUAUCCAAUCAAAACCUAUUUGGUAUGCUGCCAGUAAAUUACAUGAUGCACUGGCUAGAAUGGACAAUGACUAUUUACGAUCAGCUCUUGAUUAUUUGGAGUUGCAGCCUGACUUAAAGGCUCUUGUUCGUGGAUCGUGGUGCACAUACAUUUAAGUGCCCGAAUUUAGGAAUAACUAGUUGGUCUAGGCUGCCAAUCCAUGAUGCUGAUUUUGGCUGGGGUAGGCCUAUAUUUAUGGGACCUGGUGGUAUUGCUUAUGAAGGUUUAAGCUUUAUAUUGCCAAGUCCUACAAAUGAUGGCAGUCAAUUGUUGGAUUGCGUAUAGGUGUUCGUAACACGCAGUGGAAGACAAUAACAAUCCAAGGUAGAUUUUCUCAUGUUUAAAAUUUAUUUACGUGUCAAAGAACGGAUCAAAUACGUACCUGGUGAAGAAAGUCUCGUUUCAAAAUUCUUCGAUAGUGCGAAGACUCUAUGCGUAU